rnacentral:rRNA from 1 species
GACGAACGCUGGCGGCGUGCUUAACACAUGCAAGUCGAACGGAAAGGCCCUGCGUUUGUGGGGUGCGCGAGUGGCGAACGGGUGAGGAACACGUGAGUAACCUGCCCUUGACUUUGGGAUAACGACAGGAAACUGGGGCGAAUACCGGAUAGGAGCUCCUGCUGCAUGGUGGGGGUUGGAAGGGGUCGGCGGGUGGGGGUGGACUCGCGGCUUAUCAGCUGGUUGGUGGGGUAGUGGCUUACGACGGCUUUGACGGGUAGCCGGCCUGAGAGGGUGACCGGCCACAUUGGGACUGAGAUACGCCCCAGACUCCUACGGGCGGCAGCAGUGGGGAAUAUUGCACAAUGGGCGGAAGCCUGAUGCAGCAACGCCGCGUGCGGGAUGACGGCCUUCGGGUUGUAAACCGCUUUCGCCUGUGCCGAAGCGUGAGUGACGGUAAUGGGUAAAGAAGCACCGGCUAACUACGUG